rnacentral:lncRNA from 1 species
CCCAGUCCAAACCCCAGUCCUAACCCAAACCUUAGCCCUAACACAAACCCUAGUCCUAACCCCAGUCCAAACCCCAGUCCAAACCCCAGUCCAAACCCCUGUCCUAACCCCUGUCCUAACCCAAACCCCAGUCCAAGCCAAAACCCCUGCUCUAACCCAAACCCCAGUACUAUUCCAAACCCCUGUCCUUUGUCGAACCCCUGUCCUACGUCAAAGCCCAGUCCUAAGCCAACCCUGGUCCUAACCAAAACUCCAGUCCUAACCCAACCUUUAUCCUACAUGAAACCCCAGUCUUAGGCCUAACCCCAGCCCUAACCCAAACCCCUGUCCCAAACCCCUGUCCUAAACCCUAACCCCCAGUCCGUCCUAAGUCAAACCCCGGCUUGGUCUGUCGAAUUUGUCGACAGUGUCUGUCCUAACCCAGUUCUACCCCAUACCCCUGUCCUAACCCCAGUCCUACGUCAAACCCCAGUGCUAAUCCAACCCUGGUCCUACCCCAAACCCCAGUCCUAACCGAAACCCCUGUCCUAACCCAACCCUGGUCCUACCCAAAACCCCUGUCCCAACCCUGGUCCUACCCCAAACCCCAGUCCUAACCGAAACUCCUGUCCUAACCCAACCCUGGUCCUACCCCAGUCCUACCCCAAACCCCUGUUCUAACCCCAGUUGUACCCAAACCACUGUCCUAACCCAAACGCCACACCCAACCCAACCUUGGUCCAAACCCCAGUCCUAACCUAAACCUCGGUCUAACGAAAACCCAGUCCUCACCCAAUUGUAAUGUAAAGCUGUGCACCACCAAUAAUGCGAACAGCGCUAGUCACUUCAUGAAAUAUUGGGACGAAUGCCGUGGACCGAUUUUUGGUUGCAAACAUACGACCACUUUUGAUGCUGAAUAUUACAAAUUAAGAACCUUAAAUAUAUAAUAAACUUAAUUCAAAAUUUUACCACUUCAUUAAACUAAUACAAUGUAAAACUUUUGCCUUGUUUAGUUGACUUCCAUACUCAAUUCUUUCACGAUAAACCAUAUACUAAAACCAUCACCAGAACGCCAGGU